UAAGAAUCUUGGUGAUGUGAAGGUCUAUCUUGGUGUUCAGAUAGAUAGGACCAAAAAUGGCAGUUUUCUACUGAAUCAAAAAGGCAAGAUAUUGCAAAUGUUGAAAAAGUUUAACAUGACGGAGUGUGCAGGUGUUAGAACACCAAUGGAAAUGGGUUUUGUAAAAGACAAUGAGUUCAAGGAUAGUGCUGAAUUCAAGCGUGCUGAAAUCUUUCAGUCAGCACUGGGAAGCUUACUUCAUCUUUCGCAAUGGAGUAGACCAGAUAUUGCUUACGCUGUUAACUUACUCAGCAGAGAAGUUUCGAAACCUAGUGUAAAUGCAUGGAAAGGAAUUCAAAGAGUGUUAAGAUAUUUACAAUACACCAAAGAUUUUUGCCUUGAAUUGUUUUCGGAAGGACAAGCACAGAUUACUUGUUGGGCAGAUAGUGAUUGGGCAAAUUUAAAGGAUAGAAAAUCAGUGUCUGGCUGUGUAAUAAAAUUUGGUAACUCUCUGAUUGGGUGGAGAUCCAAGAAACAGAACCUAAUUGCUUUGUCGUCAACAGAAGCUGAGUUCUGUGCCUUAUCUGAGUUAUGUAGAGAUCUAGAAUUUUACAAAUGCUUGGCACAAGAGAUGUAUGAAAAGGCCAUCACUCCAAUCACUGUGUGGGGUGAUAAUCAACCGUGUCUUAAGUUAGCACAAAAUGGGCAGUUUAAAGGUCGUACAAAACAUUUGGAUAUCCGCUUUCAAAAUGUUUGUCAAACGGUAAAAGCAGGAAUUGUUAAAUUAAAUUACUGUCCCAGUCAUGAAAAUCAAGCUGAUGGUUUUACAAAACCACUUGGGUUUCAGCGGCAUGAAAACUUUUGUGAAGAAAUGGGUCUGAAGUAAUUUUGGUUUUUUUUGUAUUGCCAGCGAGAGGGGGUGUUAGGGUGUGAAACCUAAGACGCUGGCAAGUUAGCAAUGUCAUGUGACUUUAAGUAGUCAAGCUCGUUAAGUUGUUAAGUUGCUCAGUAUAUAAAGUGUGUUUGUUUUCUCUGCCUGUGGGGUGUGAAGCAAAAAUGUCUGAAAGCUCCGGAGGUAUUUCUGUUAUCUUUCUGCAAUAAACCUGUCUUUGGAAAGACAGGCUUCCCUGUGUCGUUAUUUCUUUGCUGCUGAGACUCUGAAGCUUGUACUGCAACAAGAAUCUCUGCACUGGACUUAAUUAAUACUCUGCAAAGAGAGCUGUUGCUGGUGGCGCAGCGGAAGCGUUUACUGGACCAGUACACAAACUCUCUUA